GUGGAUGUGGCUUAGUGAUAGAGUGCUUGCCUAGCAUGCAAGAGGCCCUGAGUUCAAUUUCUUGGUACCACA
rnacentral:tRNA from 1 species